AGAGUUUGAUCAUGGCUCAGAUUGAACGCUGGCGGCAGGCCUAACACAUGCAAGUCGAACGGUAACAGGAAGCAGCUUGCUGCUUCGCUGACGAGUGGCGGACGGGUGAGUAAUGUCUGGGAAACUGCCUGAUGGAGGGGGAUAACUACUGGAAACGGUGGCUAAUACCGCAUAACGUCGCAAGACCAAAGAGGGGGACCUUCGGGCCUCUUGCCAUCAGAUGUGCCCAGAUGGGAUUAGCUUGUUGGUGAGGUAACGGCUCACCAAGGCGACGAUCCCUAGCUGGUCUGAGAGGAUGACCAGCCACACUGGAACUGAGACACGGUCCAGACUCCUACGGGAGGCAGCAGUGGGGAAUAUUGCACAAUGGGCGCAAGCCUGAUGCAGCCAUGCCGCGUGUAUGAAGAAGGCCUUC
rnacentral:rRNA from 1 species